GACGAACGCUGGCGGCGUGCCUAAUACAUGCAAGUAGAACGCUGAAGGAGGAGCUUGCUUCUCUGGAUGAGUUGCGAACGGGUGAGUAACGCGUAGGUAACCUGCCUGGUAGCGGGGGAUAACUAUUGGAAACGAUAGCUAAUACCGCAUAACAGUAGAUAUCGCAUGAUAUCUACUUGAAAGGUGCAAUUGCAUCACUACCAGAUGGACCUGCGUUGUAUUAGCUAGUUGGUGAGGUAACGGCUCACCAAGGCGACGAUACAUAGCCGACCUGAGAGGGUGAUCGGCCACACUGGGACUGAGACACGGCCCAGACUCCUACGGGAGGCAGCAGUAGGGAAUCUUCGGCAAUGGACGGAAGUCUGACCGAGCAACGCCGCGUGAGUGAAGAAGGUUUUCGGAUCGUAAAGCCCUGUUGUAAGAGAAGAACGAGUGUGAGAGUGGAAAGUUCACACUGUGACGGUAUCUUACCAGAAAGGGACGGCUAACUACGUG
rnacentral:rRNA from 1 species